AAUAGAUGACACCGUUGACUUUUUCUCACAUGUUUGAUCAUUUGUCUUAUUCAAAAAAAUUACGUAAUUAUAAUUUAUUUUGUUAUGAGUUGUUUUAUCACUCAUGAUACUUUAAGUGUGAUUUAUAUCUUAUAUAUUUGCAUAAAAUUUUUAAAUAAGAAGAAUGGUCAAACAUGUGAGAAAAAAUCAACGGCGUCAUCUAUU
rnacentral:pre_miRNA from 1 species